rnacentral:rRNA from 1 species
CCUACGGGAGGCAGCAGUGGGGAAUAUUGGUCAAUGGGGGGAACCCUGAUCCAGCCAUGCCGCGUGUGUGAAGAAGGCCCUCGGGUUGUAAAGCACUUUCAGUGAGGAAGAACGCCUGGUGGUUAAUACCCAUCAGGAAAGACAUCACUCACAGAAGAAGCACCGGCUAACUCCGUGCCAGCAGCCGCGGUAAUACGGAGGGUGCGAGCGUUAAUCGGAAUUACUGGGCGUAAAGCGCGCGUAGGUGGCUUGAUAAGCCGGUUGUGAAAGCCCCGGGCUCAACCUGGGAACGGCAUCCGGAACUGUCAAGCUAGAGUGCAGGAGAGGAAGGUAGAAUUCCCGGUGUAGCGGUGAAAUGCGUAGAGAUCGGGAGGAAUACCAGUGGCGAAGGCGGCCUUCUGGACUGACACUGACACUGAGGUGCGAAAGCGUGGGUAGCAAACAGGAUUAGAUACCCGUGUAGUC